UCCGAUGGCAUCAAAGAAUUUGGCUCUUUGGGAAAGCAGAGGGAACAGCCGAAAUUCCACAUCCCUUUAAAAGGCCUGGGGGUGGGGGUGUCAGCAAAAGAGAAAGGUGAUUCUGGGAGAGGGGGAAACAGAUGGGAAAUGAGGACAGAGGAAAGGGCGCUAAGUUGGAUGGAAAGUUUGUCUGGAGAACUCCCACGGCUCGGGCCUCCCCUCCCCCUCCUGGCUCUCAGCCGCCCAGCAGAGGAGAAGGCUGGUUAGCAGAGAAAUGGCAACUCAGCCGGGAGCUGGAACUAGAAACUUUCUGUCAAUAGAACAGCUGCGUGGGUGGUGACCCAAUGGUGGUUGGGCUUCGGGUCACGUGACGACUUCUUUGUAGCUCCGGAAGAGAACUGUGAAGUUUAGGGUGCAUGGAAGAAGCUGUAAUCGCCCAGGAGAAUUUCGAGGGGGGGAAAAAAUCAAGAUUUGGGGGAAUUACCCACAGGGACGGAAGGUAAGUCGGUUGGUGAGUGACGGCCUAGCCAUCUUGUCUGUUUUUUUCAAAAUGUGCUUCUCUGCCUGGUUCUCCUAUGUCUCCCUCCUCUACCUCACUCCCGAGUGUGGAAUUCCAACUGGGUAUUGCUGGAGGCCUAGGGCCGAGGGGGUCACCUCCAAUCUGCUGUGGAUUCCUUGGCGAUGGGUUGGCAAGCAGAUGGAGCAAGAGCUGGGGCACUUGAGAAGGCCACUCUCAGGCCAG